rnacentral:rRNA from 1 species
GAUCUAUGGCGCAAGCAAGUAAGAUCCCUCAAAGACGAUGAGGUAGAUAGGUUCGGGGUGGAAGCGUGGCGACACGUGCAGCUGACGAAUACUAAUCGAUCGAGGACUUAACCAA